UACGGAGGGGGUUAGCGUUGUUCGGAAUGACUGGGCGUAAAGCGCGCGUAGGCGGAUCAUCAAGUCGGGGGUGAAAUCCCGGGGCUCAACCCCGGAAUGGCCUUCGAGACUGGUGGUCUUGAGUUCGAGAGAGGUGAGUGGAAUUCCGGGUGUAGAGGUGAAAUUCGUAGAUAUUCGGAGGAACACCAGUGGCGAAGGCGGCUCACUGGCUCGACACUGACGCUGAGGUGCGAAAGCGUGGGGAGCAAACAGG
rnacentral:rRNA from 1 species